CCUGGAGGUUUCGACAGCCAAGCACAGCUCCCCUCUUACAGGGACGGCCUUGUGCUCACAGGGAAUGAAAAGGCAUCUCCGCCCCCGAGGUCACAGCAGAGGGUGGAAGAAACCGCCCCGGGGGAGGCGUGGCAAAGGCGGAAAAAAACGCCUUCCUCUCAUCAGUGGGGAAGGACCUCUGCUCUCCCUCCGCCCCGAACCCACAAACGGUCCCAAGGGCAGGAAGGUCACAGAGGGACCCCAGGCAAAGCCUGGGCCCUUCAGACGCCACGUGGAAGAGCGCCCCCCACCGCCAGUUGAUCUCUGAAAACCCACAAAGGGAAGCACGUGUGACAGCAAACUCCUGUUGUGGCUGGUGGGGGCUGUUUUCAAUUGGUUUAAGCUGAUGGGGGCUGUUUUCAGUUGGUUUAAGCUGCUGAGGGUUGUUUUCACUUGUGGGGGCUGUUUUAAGUUGGUUUAAGUUGGUGGGGACCGCUUUCAGUUGGUUUAAGUUGGCACAGGUUGUUUUCAGCUGGCUUAAGCUAGCGUGCAUUGUCUGCAAUUGGUUUAAGUGGGUGUGGGUUGUUUUAAGUUGGUUUACGUUGGUGGGGGUUGUUUAAAGUUUGUCCCGGUUGGUGGGGGCUUUUUUAAGUGGGUUUAAGUGUUGGGGCUGUUUUGAGUUGGUUUAAGCUGGUGCAGGUUGUUUUAAGUUGCUUUAAGUUGGUGGUGGUUGUUUUAAGUUGGUUUAAGCUGGUAUGGGUUGCUUUAAGUUGGUUUAAGUUGGUGGGGGUUGUUCCAAGUGGGUUUAAGCCACUAAGGGUGGCUCUAAGUUGGCUUAACCUGCUGUGCGUUGCUUUAAAUUGGUUGAAGCUGGUGGAGAAGCCGCGGGAAGACGGUUGUUUUAAGUUACCUGGAACUGAAAUCACUUGGGAAAAAAUCCACAGAGAAUGAGAACAGCAGGGGUAGGCUGCCAUGCCAAGGACAAAAGACACAAUUCUGGUCUUCAUUUCAGGGUGCUGACGAGCAGAAACUCCCAGAAAAACCAGGAGCAUUCCCAGAAAGAAAAGCCCAUCUGUUCUAGAAGAGUGAUGAACUUUCCAAAAGCGUUAUCAAAAGAAGCCUGCAAACUGGCUGCAGCAGAUGGAGGGUUCUAGAUCCUGGGUCGAAUCAGAGCUGCAGCUGCCAGUCUACACCACAGCCACAGUCACACGGGAUCCAGCCACAUCUGCGACCUACACCACCACUCACAGCAACGCUGGAUCCUUCACCUGAGGAGCGAGACCAAGGAUCGAACCCACGUCCUCAUGGAUCCUAUUUGGAUUCAUUUCCCGCUGAGCCAUGAUGGGAAUUCCCACAUUCCCUUUUAGGAACUGCAUUUUCACUUUGUCAAUGUGUAUACAUGCAUAACGUCCUGCCCUAAACGUGGAGGUAAUUACAUGAACAGUUAUGACAUGAAAGUCUUGCUUCUUUGCCAAGACCUAUUUUUUUUUUUAAUCUUGGGAUUGCAGAAAUAUCAAAUAAGAUAUGCAAUAUCCCUUUAUCCCUCG